rnacentral:tRNA from 1 species
GGUCGCUUAGCUCAGUUGGUUAGAGCGUGGUGCUAAUACUAUCCUUGAUACGCCAAGGUCGCGAGUUCGACCCUCGUAGUGACCA